GGUUAAGCGACUAAGCGUACACGGUGGAUGCCCAGGCAGUCAGAGGCGAUGAAGGACGUGCUAAUCUGCGAUAAGCGUCGGUAAGGUGAUAUGAACCGUUAUAACCGGCGAUUUCCGAAUGGGGAAACCCAGUGUGUUUCGACACACUAUCAUUAACUGAAUCCAUAGGUUAAUGAGGCGAACCGGGGGAACUGAAACAUCUAAGUACCCCGAGGAAAAGAAAUCAACCGAGAUUCCCCCAGUAGCGGCGAGCGAACGGGGAGCAGCCCAGAGCCUGAAUCAGUGUGUGUGUUAGUGGAAGCGUCUGGAAAGGCGCGCGAUACAGGGUGACAGCCCCGUACACAAAAAUGCACAUGCUGUGAGCUCGAUGAGUAGGGCGGGACACGUGGUAUCCUGUCUGAAUAUGGGGGGACCAUCCUCCAAGGCUAAAUACUCCUGACUGACCGAUAGUGAACCAGUACCGUGAGGGAAAGGCGAAAAGAACCCCGGCGAGGGGAGUGAAAAAGAACCUGAAACCGUGUACGUACAAGCAGUGGGAGCACGCUUAGGCGUGUGACUGCGUACCUUUUGUAUAAUGGGUCAGCGACUUAUAUUCUGUAGCAAGGUUAACCGAAUAGGGGAGCCGAAGGGAAACCGAGUCUUAACUGGGCGUUAAGUUGCAGGGUAUAGACCCGAAACCCGGUGAUCUAGCCAUGGGCAGGUUGAAGGUUGGGUAACACUAACUGGAGGACCGAACCGACUAAUGUUGAAAAAUUAGCGGAUGACUUGUGGCUGGGGGUGAAAGGCCAAUCAAACCGGGAGAUAGCUGGUUCUCCCCGAAAGCUAUUUAGGUAGCGCCUCGUGAAUUCAUCUCCGGGGGUAGAGCACUGUUUCGGCAAGGGGGUCAUCCCGACUUACCAACCCGAUGCAAACUGCGAAUACCGGAGAAUGUUAUCACGGGAGACACACGGCGGGUGCUAACGUCCGUCGUGAAGAGGGAAACAACCCAGACCGCCAGCUAAGGUCCCAAAGUCAUGGUUAAGUGGGAAACGAUGUGGGAAGGCCCAGACAGCCAGGAUGUUGGCUUAGAAGCAGCCAUCAUUUAAAGAAAGCGUAAUAGCUCACUGGUCGAGUCGGCCUGCGCGGAAGAUGUAACGGGGCUAAACCAUGCACCGAAGCUGCGGCAGCGACGCUGAUGCGUUGUUGGGUAGGGGAGCGUUCUGUAAGCCUGUGAAGGUGUGCUGUGAGGCAUGCUGGAGGUAUCAGAAGUGCGAAUGCUGACAUAAGUAACGAUAAAGCGGGUGAAAAGCCCGCUCGCCGGAAGACCAAGGGUUCCUGUCCAACGUUAAUCGGGGCAGGGUGAGUCGACCCCUAAGGCGAGGCCGAAAGGCGUAGUCGAUGGGAAACAGGUUAAUAUUCCUGUACUUGGUGUUACUGCGAAGGGGGGACGGAGAAGGCUAUGUUGGCCGGGCGACGGUUGUCCCGGUUUAAGCGUGUAGGCUGGUUUUCCAGGCAAAUCCGGAAAAUCAAGGCUGAGGCGUGAUGACGAGGCACUACGGUGCUGAAGCAACAAAUGCCCUGCUUCCAGGAAAAGCCUCUAAGCAUCAGGUAACAUCAAAUCGUACCCCAAACCGACACAGGUGGUCAGGUAGAGAAUACCAAGGCGCUUGAGAGAACUCGGGUGAAGGAACUAGGCAAAAUGGUGCCGUAACUUCGGGAGAAGGCACGCUGAUAUGUAGGUGAAGUCCCUCGCGGAUGGAGCUGAAAUCAGUCGAAGAUACCAGCUGGCUGCAACUGUUUAUUAAAAACACAGCACUGUGCAAACACGAAAGUGGACGUAUACGGUGUGACGCCUGCCCGGUGCCGGAAGGUUAAUUGAUGGGGUUAGCCGCAAGGCGAAGCUCUUGAUCGAAGCCCCGGUAAACGGCGGCCGUAACUAUAACGGUCCUAAGGUAGCGAAAUUCCUUGUCGGGUAAGUUCCGACCUGCACGAAUGGCGUAAUGAUGGCCAGGCUGUCUCCACCCGAGACUCAGUGAAAUUGAACUCGCUGUGAAGAUGCAGUGUACCCGCGGCAAGACGGAAAGACCCCGUGAACCUUUACUAUAGCUUGACACUGAACAUUGAGCCUUGAUGUGUAGGAUAGGUGGGAGGCUUAGAAGUGUGGACGCCAGUCUGCAUGGAGCCGACCUUGAAAUACCACCCUUUAAUGUUUGAUGUUCUAACGUUGACCCGUAAUCCGGGUUGCGGACAGUGUCUGGUGGGUAGUUUGACUGGGGCGGUCUCCUCCUAAAGAGUAACGGAGGAGCACGAAGGUUGGCUAAUCCUGGUCGGACAUCAGGAGGUUAGUGCAAUGGCAUAAGCCAGCUUGACUGCGAGCGUGACGGCGCGAGCAGGUGCGAAAGCAGGUCAUAGUGAUCCGGUGGUUCUGAAUGGAAGGGCCAUCGCUCAACGGAUAAAAGGUACUCCGGGGAUAACAGGCUGAUACCGCCCAAGAGUUCAUAUCGACGGCGGUGUUUGGCACCUCGAUGUCGGCUCAUCACAUCCUGGGGCUGAAGUAGGUCCCAAGGGUAUGGCUGUUCGCCAUUUAAAGUGGUACGCGAGCUGGGUUUAGAACGUCGUGAGACAGUUCGGUCCCUAUCUGCCGUGGGCGCUGGAGAACUGAGGGGGGCUGCUCCUAGUACGAGAGGACCGGAGUGGACGCAUCACUGGUGUUCGGGUUGUCAUGCCAAUGGCACUGCCCGGUAGCUAAAUGCGGAAGAGAUAAGUGCUGAAAGCAUCUAAGCACGAAACUUGCCCCGAGAUGAGUUCUCCCUGACUCCUUGAGAGUCCUGAAGGAACGUUGAAGACGACGACGUUGAUAGGCCGGGUGUGUAAGCGCAGCGAUGCGUUGAGCUAACCGGUACUAAUGAACCGUGAGGCUUAACCUU
rnacentral:rRNA from 1 species